UCUCCGUAGGUGAACCUGCGGAGGGAUCAUUACUGAGUGAGGGGCUCCGGCCCCAGACCUCCAACCCAUUGUUAUCCGACACUGUUGCCUCGGGGGCGACCCUGCCGUUCGCGGCGUGGGGCCCCCGGAGCCCAUCAAACCCUGCGUAACUAAGUCGUCGGAGUUUAAACAAAUUAAACAAAACUUUCAACAACGGAUCUCUUGGUUCGGGCAUCGAUGAAGAACGCAGC
rnacentral:misc_RNA from 1 species